UUCUAGUGAUUCCUCUCAUGGAAGAACACCAUUGGCGAAGUAAAUUGUAGUUGACGAAUUGUAAUUAUAAACUUUGUGAUGGAUCAAGAUGUUUAAUUGGUUAAACUAUGAAAUAAUAAAAUGGACAUCUGUCCUUCAAUUAAACCAAACCAAUUUUAAACUAAACGAUUUUAAUUUUUGAUGGACUCGGUUCACCGUGAACCAAAAGAAUCAGUUUAGAAAUUGGUUUGGUAAAUGGUUUAAUUGAAGAAACACUCUUCAACGGUCAAAUCAAAACACAAUCGAAAUAUAUAAAUCGCGUAAGCCUUGGACACCAAGAGUCUAUUUAAAUUCACAAAAAUAUCAGUUUGGAUAUCGAAAUUUGACCGUUGGGCUCUCAGAGGCUCUACCAAAUUCUAACAUCUCCGACUCCGACGAAGAAGUUGAGAAGCAGUGGAAAAGUUAGAUCGUGGAGCCACCGUUGUCGCCGAUCUCAGCGAAGUCGUUGGAGAAAGAUCUAGUGGAGUAGGAGGCGAUGUUGGAGAAAACAGACGAUUUUCUGAAGGAGAAUGGAUGAUAUCCUGAGGAAGAAGAAGAUGAAGAAGGAGAAAGUCUCGACCGUGUUCGACGGAGAUGCUAGAUUGGCGGAGGAGCCGAAUUACAAAGAAUUCCACGGUCAAUUCGCGGGGAGUGAAAUUGCCGAUUUUCGAAGAGGAUAUCAGCAAUUGAAGAUUCGAUUGAUUACAAAAUCGAGGAUUUGAAGUAAAACCCUGAAAGUGGAAGCUUUUGUUUCUCUGAUUCUGGAAAGUUUCCAGUAUCCAUCCUCUUGAUUAAAUUCGUAUCCUUGCUUGUUUAGGGACGCUAAUUGUAUAUCUAAGAAGAUUCUUGGAUAUAGUUAUGGUGAUGCUUCUUAAAUCCGAAAGAGAAGCAGACGGUCUCUUUGGAAAGUUGUGAUGUAGUGUCUCCCUAAUCAGGUUUCUUUUCUGGAUUGUUGUCUUAGUAGGAACAAGCUGGCCACAAUUCUUGAAGAGGAAGAAGCGAGAUGGAGAAUGAACACCAGUAAGAUACUAUUUUCAUUGGUCAAUGGAGAAACAUUAUAACGGAGAACAGCCGUUGCAGCAUACAUAAUCUUGAACCUCUUUCGUCUAUAUACCUUUAGUUGGAUAAGCUGAAAGGAUACUCAAGCCAAUCAUAAGGAUGUUAUAUGUAGAGACAGUAUCAACAUAAUCAGUAGAUUUAAAUGCGUCUCAAACACAUGACCCUUUUCUCAUUCGCCAGAAAACAAUACCUUUCUUUGUAUUACACGGAGAAGCAGAUACAGUGACGGAUCCAGAGAUAAGCAAAGCCCAGUACGAGAAAGCUAGCACGUUUUGGUCUCUUUCUUUUAAUGGUCCUCAGUGGUUUGGAGUGUUUGGUGUCUGAUUUGGCUGCUUGAGCGUUGAUUGAAGAUUGCAACAUUCUCUUGUGGCUAUUUGUGGUUUCAGGGGUUUUACUCGUUUCCUAUUUUUGUAUACCUACUUCACUUUAGUUUUGUAAAGUGUUUAUAAUUUACCCUUCUGCUGUAGGAUCAGUCUAGCAGUGGUAACCAAGGACCAAGGCAAAGGGCUGCUGCUUUUGCUGCCUUGACUUCUCCAUUUA